rnacentral:rRNA from 1 species
AUGGGCUCUCAAGGUGAUCUGCACGGCGGCGGCGGCGGCCGCCGCAAUCAGGGCCACGCUGAUGGACCAGAGCCGCUGGACCAAUCCUGUCGCCAUGAUGCGGCCCUGCGCAUUGCAAAUGCUUUUCUUGAUGAGGAGAUUAAAAACAUCAACAACUCACUGGUUGACACGGAAAUCAAUGUUAUAAGCGACAGUGCUGAUGCGGGGACAUUAAUUACCCUUUCCUACAUGGCCGUGGCCGUUGCUCCUGACCUCAAAGCCAUAUUUGCAAGAUCAGAAAAGCCUCCUAUCAGCGCUGCAAAACUACUUGUCCCCACGGAUUACCCAAGGAGUUCUCCUGUGCUUGUUGAGGAUGAUGAAGAUGCGCAGGAGAGGAAUGAGUUCAAGGCCAUGUCAAACUCGGUCCACAAGCAGUUCAAGCUUGCCCUAGCUGAGCAUAGGUCCAUCAAUGAUAUUGCAAGGGAAUGGGAUUCCUGUGUGCGUGCAGCUGUGCUGAAGUUAGCGAAAUCUUUUGGCGGAGGCACCUUCACCUCAAGGUAUGGCAAAUGGGAGAGUGUCUCGUCACUUGGAUCGAAUGGUGCAGCUGCUAAAGGGGAAGAUCAUGAGUGUGAUAGAGCUGAAACAACAAUCUCCGAGAAAUCCACAGGAAAAUCAGAGAUAACACCAGCAGAUGGCCAUUCUAAUACCAGAGGUCACGCCUGCUCCACUCCAGCUCUCUUCCCUCCGCUCCAGCCUCAAGCUCACAGAACCACUGCUCUGAGCACUCACAGUUUUAAGCAAUGGUACCUAUCUUCAAUACAAGGUGAUUUAGCUGAGGAAUUACAGAAGAUGGAGGUGAUCUAUAAUGUGAUCAUGGAGAGGCAGUCGACGAAUGAGAGGGAUGAUCUGAGUGAUCUGUGGCUACUCAUCAAUGAAGGUGUUAAGAAGUGCAAAGGUAUCCUCUUAGAAAUUCAUGCCUUGGGAGGGUCCUGGGAUCAGGAGAUCGACCCGAAAUUCAUCUGGUGA